UACGUAGGGUGCGAGCGUUAAUCGGAAUUACUGGGCGUAAAGCGUGCGCAGGCGGUGAUGUAAGACAGGUGUGAAAUCCCCGGGCUCAACCCGGGAACUGCGUCCGAAACUGGCAGGCUUGAAUCCGGGAGAGGGAUGUGGAAUUCCAGGUGUAGCGGUGAAAUGCGUAGAUAUCUGGAGGAACACCGGUGGCGAAGGCGGCAUCCUGGACCGGUAUUGACGCUGAGGCGCGAAAGCCAGGGGAGCAAACGGG
rnacentral:rRNA from 1 species